GGGCGGAACUCUGCUGGCUUUGAGCGCCUUCAAACAAAUUCUUGAAGUCAUCCGCACUGUCUGCCUGAGGAAAGAUGGUCAACGUCUUGAAAGGAGUGCUUAUAGAAUGAUCUGUACAGGAGCCUACCCCAGAACAAUAGCAUCCUAAUUCUUACUUAACCCACAGUAAAAGACUGGGUCCCAAGCUGUGAUUAAAGCGAUCCCGCCAUGAAGCAGUUUUUGCUGUACUUGGAUGAGUCCAAUGCCUUGGGGAAGAAGUUCAUCAUUCAAGACAUUGAUGACACACAUGUCUUUGUCAUUGCGGAACUGGUUAAUGUUCUCCAGGAGCGAGUAGGGGAACUGAUGGACCAGAAUGCCUUUUCUCUUACCCAGAAGUGAGAGCUCUAGUGUUAAGCACUUGGCAAUCCCAACCACAGACAGGAGAGAGGCCUGCUUAGUGUCUCCUGGAGUUUAGACUUGUUACAAGCAUUUGGUGGGAAAGGCUGCUGCAGGGUCAUUCACUCAGAUGUAAGCUCCCAACUGAUUUUGAUGGACCAUUAAAAAAAUCUUUGUAAAGAAGAAUUUUAACAACUGGCUGCAAUUUGGCUUUUACUGUUUGUUAUUAAAAUAUAAUCAUAGCUGUGCUGGUGGGAUGGCUCAGUUGGUAAAGGCCCUUGCCACUAAGCCAGACACCCUGACCACACUACAAGGUGAGAACUCUGCAGGUUGUCCUCUGACCCUCGUGUGUGUAGCUCCCUCCUGCACAAAUAAGUAAAUGUAAUAAAAUGUAAUCAUAAAUGUUUUCCCUGCCUUUUUAAAACACCAAUUAAAUACACCAG
rnacentral:lncRNA from 1 species